rnacentral:rRNA from 1 species
UACGUAGGGUGCGAGCGUUGUCCGGAAUUACUGGGCGUAAAGAGCUCGUAGGUGGUUUGUCGCGUUUGUCCGUGAAAACUCACAACUCAAUUGUGGGCGUGCGGGCGAUACGGGCAGACUGGAGUACUGCAGGGGAGACUGGAAUUCCUGGUGUAGCGGUGGAAUGCGCAGAUAUCAGGAGGAACACCGAUGGCGAAGGCAGGUCACUGGGCCGCAACUGACGCUGAGGAGCGAAAGCUGGGGAGCGAACGG